rnacentral:rRNA from 1 species
UACGGGGGGAGCAAGCGUUGUUCGGAUUUCCUGGGCGUAAAGGGCGCGUAGGCGGCCACCGCAAGUCAGUUGUGAAAUCUCUGGGCUUAACCCAGAAAGGUCAACUGAUACUGCGGGGCUAGAGUGCAGAAGGGGCAACUGGAAUUCUCGGUGUAGCGGUGAAAUGCGUAGAUAUCGAGAGGAACACCUGCGGCGAAGGCGGGUUGCUGGGCUGACACUGACGCUGAUGCGCGAAAGCUAGGGGAGCGAACGGG